AACGCGAAGAACCUUACCUAGGCUUGACAUGCAUCUCUAAGCGCGUGAAAGCGCGUGACCCCUCGGGGGAUUUGCACAGGUGCUGCAUGGCCGUCGUCAGCUCGUGUCGUGAGAUGUUGGGUUAAGUCCCGCAACGAGCGCAACCCUUAUCGUUAGUUGCCAACAGGUAAUGCUGGGAACUCUAGCGAGACUGCCUGGGUUAACCAGGAGGAAGGUGAGGAUGACGUCAAGUCCGCAUGACCCUUAUGUCUGGGGCUACACACGUGCUACAAUGGUCGGUACAGAAGGCAGCGAAACCGCGAGGUGAAGCAAAUCCCAAAAGCCGACCCCAGUUCAGAUUGUAGUCUGCAACUCGACUACAUGAAGAUGGAAUUGCUAGUAAUGGCGAGUCAGCAACAUCGCCGUGAAUACGUUCCCGGGUCUUGUACACACCG
rnacentral:rRNA from 1 species